GUGGGUUCCACUGUCAGAUGGGAUCAGUGGCAUAGGGGCAGGAGUUGGUUGCUUUUUUCAUGCCAGGGAAUCAUGUAUAGUGGGUCGUUGAAGUACGUUGCUUCCAACUGGACCCAAUGUUUCAUAUUUUGUGGUUGGGACCAUUCAUAUAUUCUGGACAGUGUUAUGGCUUUGUGGUAGUUUUCGAUGUCUGGCAGUCCCAAACCACCUUUCAG